UACGUAGGGGGCUAGCGUUGUCCGGAUUUAUUGGGCGUAAAGCGCGUGUAGGCGGCCAGAAAAGUCCGCUGUGAAAACUCGAGGCUCAACUUCGAGCUGUCGGUGGAAACUUUCUGGCUAGAGUCCGGAAGAGGAGAAUGGAAUUCCUGGUGUAGCGGUGAAAUGCGCAGAUAUCAAGAAGAACACCCGUGGCGAAGGCGGUUCUCUGGGACGGUACUGACGCUGAGACGCGAAAGCGUGGGGAGCGAACAGG
rnacentral:rRNA from 1 species